rnacentral:rRNA from 1 species
AGAGUUUGAUCCUGGCUCAGGACGAACGCUGGCGGCGUGCUUAACACAUGCAAGUCGAGCGAGAAACCUCGGGUUUCUAGCGGCGGACGGGUGAGUAACACGUGGGUAACCUGCCUCAAAGAGGGGGAUAGCCUUCCGAAAGGAAGAUUAAUACCGCAUAAAAUUGUAGUAUCGCAUGAUAUAACAAUUAAAGGAGUAAU